rnacentral:rRNA from 1 species
CGCGUAGGUGGCCUUCUAAGUCGAACGUGAAAUCCCUGGGCUCAACCCAGGAACUGCGUCCGAGACUGGGAGGGCUUGAAUCCGGGAGAGGGAUGCGGGAAUUCCAGGUGUAGCGGUGAAAUGCGUAGAUAUCUGGAGGAACACCGGUGGCGAAGGCGGCAUCCUGGACCGGUAUUGACACUGAGGCGCGAAAGCCAGGGGAGCAAACG